GAGGUACACUUCUGAUGAUGUCAGCCAAGCAGGCAGAUCAGGACCAGCACCAGCAGACUGGACUAAAAGUAAGAUUUUACUAUAUUUAGGGAGGUAAGGGGGGCAUGGAGGUUAGAUGGUAUUUUUAACACUAUAGGGAUAGGAAUAUAUGUUUGUAGUCCUGACCCUAUAGUGUUUCUUUAACAAAAGUUGAUCAGCUACAGCAAAACAGGUCAAGUUAGAUUUUCUAAUCUUGAGCUCCUUUCUAAGACAAUAGUCAAUUCCAAAAUCAAAGAAUAUAAAAGCUGAUUGACACACACUAUGACAUCACACUAUGACAUCACUAAGUACUUCACAUCUUGCAUUUCAAAUGAGUCUUAACAUUCAAG